AAUCAACGCUGGCGGCGUGCCUAACACAUGCAAGUCGAACGGGAAAGAGGGGGCAACUCCUUGAGUAAAGUGGCGACCGGGUGAGUAACACGUGACUAACCUACCCUUGAGUGGGGAAUAACCUUCCGAAAGGAGGGCUAAUACCGCAUAACAUCGCGAGGCGAGAUUCCUUGUGAUCAAAGGAGCAAUUCGCUUAAGGAGGGGGUCGCGGCUGAUUAGCUAGUUGGUGAGGUAACGGCUCACCAAGGCGAUGAUCAGUAUCCGGCCUGAGAGGGCGCACGGACACACUGGAACUGAAACACGGUCCAGACUCCUACGGGAGGCAGCAGUGGGGAAUUUUGCGCAAUGGGGGAAACCCUGACGCAGCAACGCCGCGUGGAGGAUGAAGGUCUUUGGAUUGUAAACUCCUUUCGAUCGGGACGAUUAUGACGGUACCGGAAGAAGAAGCACCGGCUAACUCUGUGCCAGCAGCCGCCGUAAAAC
rnacentral:rRNA from 1 species